rnacentral:lncRNA from 1 species
AACUAACUAGGAAAGCAAUAAAUAUAGUCCUAAAAUAUAUGGGAAUAAAUCUCAAACCAACUUGGAUAGAAUCUUGAAAAUCUUAAGGAAAUUUGCAAGCAACUUGGCAACUAACUUGCACUUAACAUCUAGCACGCCUAUUUUACCCUUCUUGGACAUCAAGUAAGUGCUUUUUAUGCUAUUAAAAUAUGGUUUUAUGCAGGUCUUCAUGGGCUGCAAGUUUGGACACAUUUUAGAUGCCAAAAUUGUCCAACAGUGGCCUGAUUUGGACUUUAUUCAGAGGAUGUUUCUUGGGAUCUAAUCCACCUCUUCUUGGACUUCAAUUUGGGCCAUAAAAUAAUUAUAACACCUAGAUAACUCAUAUACUUUAUCUUUAAGUUGUUCCUCUCAACUAACAACUUCUUUGAUCGCUCCUGAAGUCCAAUGACCUUGUUUUGUAGCUUUUUAGCUUGAGAUUCCAAUACUUCAUCCUUGUCAUUGAAUAGAUUUGAGCUUCCUAUGAUGCUAUCAUUCCCCUCUUCUUGAAGAAAAUUAGUUCUCGAAUUUCGGCCUUGCAAGAAAACGAAGACAAGCACUAGUAAAUGACAUCCACUAAUCUGAAAAAAUGGUAAAAAUAAAACAUGAUAGUGACCAUGAUAACAACUAGGUCAGGAAUCCAAAUUAGAGUAAGAAUUUGAGAAGUAAAUGCGGAAACAAUAACAACAAGGAAUUGAACAACUAAAAUUAAAGAGAUGAAAAUAAAGGAUAUGGGACGAAUUCAAGGAAAGAAAUCUAAGAACUUCCAAGAACGUAAGUUCUAUAGCCUUGACAAGAUCAAAGUAACAACUUCUUGAUUUAUGGAAGAAAUCAAACGCCUUUACUUAAAAAGCAAAUCAAAACAAUAGAUUCGGAUCUUGACCACUUUACGAGUAACUUGAGACAACAAUUAAUAACUAGUAUUAAUCGCCUUCUAAGAAUACCACAAAGGAAUCAAAGAUAUCAUAAAAAGAGAAGUAAUCUUACUACCUUGAACUAAGAACUAGUAAAGGUUGAAAGAUAAAUCUCAAAAGCACAAGUAACAAAGGUUCAAAAGAACUCUCGAAGUAUGAUAU